rnacentral:rRNA from 1 species
UUAAUGACACUUCAGCAUAUGAUAUCUCGGCUCUUGCAUCGAUGAAGAACGCAGCGAAAUGCGAUACUUGGUGUGAAUUGCAGAAUCCCGCGAACCAUCAAUUCUUUGAACGCAAGUUGCGCCCGAAGCCAUUCGGCCGAGGGCACGCCUGCCUGGGUGUCGUGA